CGCUGCCUGCCCGCCCCUUUGCCCUUACCCGCCAUGGCGGCCGCGGCGUUCCGCGCUCCGCCCUUGGGCGGGCCGCGCAUGCGCACACCUGGGUGCGCGGGGUCGCCGUUGGCCAUGUGGCGGCUCGCGCGGGCGGGCGCGCGGGCCCCGCGGGCGGCGGCGGCGGCGGCGGCGGGAGCGGGGCCGGGCGGCCGCGGAGGGGACGGCGGCUGGUAUGAGUGGGCGGCGAGCUCCGAGCCCGUGCACUGGGCCGAGGGCGGGCUGGCGGCGCUGCAGGCGGCCACCGGGCUACCCUGGUGGGCCGCCAUCGCCGGCGGGGCCGCCCUGCUGCGCACCGCCGUCACCCUCCCGCUGGCCGCGCACCAGGGGCGGCUGCUCGCCAAGCUGGAAAACUUGCAGCCUGAGAUUAAAGGACUCGCCGAGCGCCUUCGCUAUGAGGUUUCAGUGCGAGGAAAGCAGCUGGGCUGGUCUGAAAAGGUGGCCAGGUUCCACUUCAAGAAGAACCUGCGGAGGAUUGUUACAGAGCUGUACAUUCGGGACAACUGCCACCCCUUCAAAGCCACCUUGCUGGUGUGGGUGCAGAUCCCCAUGUGGGUCUGCGUGUCCCUGGCUCUGCGCAACUGCAGCGUCGGUGCCGUGGGCUCACAAGUUCAAGAGCAGUUUUCCUCAGGAGGAGCACUGUGGUUUACAGACCUCACGGCACCUGAUUCCACGUGGAUUUUGCCCGUUUCCCUGGGGCUGGUGAAUCUGCUGAUAGUGGAGAUCUUUUCUUUGCAAAAAAAAAUGCAAGUGUCCAGGUUCCAGAAGCUCGUGACGAAUUUGUUCCGUGUGGUGUCCGUGGCCAUGAUCCCUGUGGCUGCCACAGUCCCCUCCGUGUUCUACUGCAGAAUAUUCUUAGCAAAAACAAAGUGUCUGGUUGUUUUCUCAUCAGUUUAUAGUCUGGAAUACAGAAGUUGAAACAAGUUUAACAUGCCUUAAUUUAUGAACUGCAAGCCUCAGUGUAGAUGACACUUUUGCCCAGAAGAGUUCAGAGACACAGACAGUUACAUUUGACACAGAAGCCAUUGUUGUUGUUGAGAGGAGGAGUGGUUUAGUCCCUGGCGCUGUACUGGCUGUCCUCGAGCCUCGUGGGGCUCUCCCACAACCUCCUGCUGCGCUCGCCCGCCUUCCGGCGGCUCUGCUGCAUUCCAAGGACCAAAUCCGAC